rnacentral:rRNA from 1 species
GUGAGGAAUCUUCCACAAUGGGCGAAAGCCUGAUGGAGCAACGCCGCGUGAAGGAUGAAGGUCUUCGGAUUGUAAACUUCUUUUAUGAGUGAAGAAUAUGACGGUAACUCAUGAAUAGGCACCGGCUAACUACGUGCCAGCAGCCGCGGUCAUACGUAGGGUGCAAGCAUUAUCCGGAGUGACUGGGCGUAAAGAGUUGCGUAGGCGGUUAUGUAAGCGAAUAGUGAAACCUGGUGGCUCAACCACACAGACUAUUAUUCGAACUGCAUAACUCGAGAAUGGUAGAGGUAACUGGAAUUUCUUGUGUAGGAGUGAAAUCCGUAGAUAUAAGAAGGAACACCAAUGGCGUAGGCAGGUUACUGGGCCAUUUCUGACGCUAAGGCACGAAAGCGUGGGGAGCGAACCGGAUUAGAAACCCCGGUAGUCC